GCACAGCUGAGGAGUCCCGCAAUAGGACGAAACGGCCGUCCAGUGC
rfam:Schistosoma curassoni strain Dakar, Senegal genome assembly, scaffold: SCTD_contig0004829